rnacentral:rRNA from 1 species
CAGUAGUCAUAUGCUUGUCUCAAAGAUUAAGCCAUGCAUGUCUAAGCACAAACUUCUACACAGUGAAGCUGCGAAUGGCUCAUUAGGUCACCCAUGAUUUCUUAGAUCGUACAAUCCUACUUGGAUAACUGUGGUAAUUCUAGAGCUAAUACAUGCAACCAAGCUCCGACCCGUCGCCGGGGAAGAGCGCGUUUAUUAGAUCAAAACCAAUCGGGUCGUCGUUUCGGCGGCGGCUCGCUCGUUUGGUGACUCUGGAUAACUUCGAGCUGAUCGCACGGCCUCGCGCCGGCGACGUAUCUUUCAAGUGUGUGCCCUAUCAACUUUCGAUGGUACGUGAUAUGCCUACCAUGGUUGUAACGGGUAACGGGGAAUCAGGGUUCGAUUCCG